rnacentral:rRNA from 1 species
AUUGAACGCUAGCGGCAUGCUUUACACAUGCAAGUCGAACGGUAACAGGUCUUCGGAUGCUGACGAGUGGCGAACGGGUGAGUAAUGCAUCGGAACGUGCCCAGUCGUGGGGGAUAACGCAGCGAAAGCUGUGCUAAUACCGCAUACGAUCUAUGGACGAAAGCGGGGGACCGUAAGGCCUCGCGCGAUUGGAGCGGCCGAUGUCAGAUUAGCUAGUUGGUAGGGUAAAGGCCCACCAAGGCGACGAUCUGUAGCUGGUCUGAGAGGACGACCAGCCACACUGGGACUGAGACACGGCCCAGACUCCUACGGGAGGCAGCAGUGGGGAAUUUUGGACAAUGGGCGCAAGCCUGAUCCAGCAAUGCCGCGUGCAGGAAGAAGGCCUUCGGGUUGUAAACUGCUUUUGUACGGAACGAAACGGUCUGGGUUAAUACCCUGGGCUAAUGACGGUACCGUAAGAAUAAGCACCGGCUAACUACGUGCCAGCCGCCGCGGUAA